UAACAUGUGUGCACGUAUAUAUGUGUAUAUAUGCGUGUACACACACACACACACACACACACACACACAUAAACACACGCACAUA
rnacentral:miRNA from 1 species